AACAAUCUGGGUGGUACAAUACAUUUCUUUGGGGCUUUUCCCUAUCGUAACUCUUCCGGAUGUGAAAAAGACAGUGAAGAUAGACUCAUCAGAGAACAAUACAAGAUUUGGCACCUACUUGAUAUGCAGCCCUGUGUUACAUCUGUUGUAAACACUCCUAUUCCUGUAAUGAUUGCCAGAUUGAACUUCAUGUUGAUCUUCUCUUUCUUCCAGCCGGAUAAUAUCCUCUUUCCCCCCUCCGUGUCCUUCCGCAAGUUCAGCAACCCAGAGGUUUCUUCUCUUGGCUCCAGUUUAGCACUGAAAUUCAAAAGACAACUCAGUGAAGAUGGCAGACAGCACCGGAGGGGAAGUCUAGGGGGCGCUCUUACAGGGAAAUACCUGUUGCCAUAUGCCCAGCAGUCAUGGUCAGCCUCAAGCUCGGAGACCACCAACCUUGUGCGCAUGCGCUCGCAGACCUUGGGAAAAUCUGCACCUUCUCUCACAGCCAGCCUGAAAGAGCUCAGCCUGCCUAGACGAGGAAGUCUCUGCAGAACCAGCAACAGAAAAAGUCUAAUAGGUAGUGGACAGUCAUCAGCCCUUCCUCGACCACACUCACCUCUGUCAUCACACACAGGCACCAGUCCACAAGACAGCCCUAGAAACUUCUCCCCUAGUGCUUCAGCACAUUUUUCCUUCACACGCAGAACUGAUGGGCGACGCUGGUCCUUGGCAUCUCUUCCCUCUUCUGGCUAUGGAACAAACACACCCAGCUCUACAGUCUCUUCGUCCUGUUCAUCACAGGAGAAGCUCCAUCAGCUGCCUUUCCAGCCCACACCAGAUGAGCUGCACUUCCUGUCCAAGCAUUUCUACACAGAGAGCAUUUCUGGAGAUGACCACAGAAGAGUCACUCCUAUGCGGCCACGGUCUCGCAGUCUCAGUCCUGGAAGAUCCCCAUCAUGCUGUGACCAUGAGAUUAUCAUGAUGAACCAUGUGUACAAAGAAAGAUUUCCCAAGGCCACAGCUCAGAUGGAGGAGCGCAUCAAGGAGAUCAUUCAAAGCAACUCCCCUGAGAACGUCUUGCCUCUGGCUGAUGGUGUCCUCAGCUUCGCACACCAUCAGAUCAUUGAACUGGCCAGAGACUGCCUGGAAAAGUCCCGCCUUGGCCUCAUUACCUCACGUUACUUUUGUGAGCUCACAGAUAAACUGGAAAGGCUCUUUCAUGAGUCGACUGAGCGAUCGGAGAGUGCAGAGGUGACCUUCAUUAAGGAGCUAGUGAAGAAGAUUCUCAUUGUCAUCGCCAGGCCUGCGCGACUGCUUGAAUGUUUGGAGUUUGACCCAGAAGAGUUCUAUCAUCUCCUGGAGGCUGCAGAGGGUCAUGCCAAAGAGGGCCAAGGCAUCAAGACAGACAUCCCACGAUACAUUAUCAGCCAACUUGGCCUGACAAGGGACCCACUUGAGGAAAUUGCCCAGUUAACUAGUUAUGACAGUGGGAUUGCAGAAACACCUGAGACGGAUGAAUCUGUCAGUGUAACAUUACGGUCCCGGCGCAAGCCCUGUGAACUCGACUUUGAGAUGAUUAAACUGAUCAGCAAUGGAGCUUAUGGUGCAGUGUAUUUAGUGAGACACAAAGAGACAAAACAGCGCUUUGCCAUGAAGAAGAUUAACAAGCAAAACCUGAUGCUGAGGAAUCAGAUCCAGCAGGCCUUUGUAGAGAGAGACAUCCUAACGUUUGCAGAGAACCCUUUUGUGGUCAGCAUGUACUGCUCCUUUGAGACCCGCAGACAUCUCUGCAUGGUUAUGGAAUACGUUGAAGGAGGGGACUGUGCUACUUUGCUGAAGAACAUGGGUCCUCUCCCUGUGGACAUGGCCAGAAUGUACUUUGCAGAGACUGUGUUAGCCCUGGAAUAUCUCCACAACUAUGGAAUUGUCCAUCGAGAUCUCAAACCAGACAAUUUGUUAGUCACUUCAAUGGGACACAUCAAGCUGACAGACUUUGGCCUAUCGAAAGUGGGGCUGAUGAACAUGACCACUAACCUCUACGAGGGUCACAUUGAGAAAGACGCAAGAGAGUUCUCUGAUAAACAGGUGUGCGGAACUCCUGAGUACAUUGCUCCUGAAGUGAUCCUGAGGCAAGGCUAUGGAAAGCCAGUAGACUGGUGGGCAAUGGGAAUCAUCCUUUAUGAGUUUUUGGUGGGCUGUGUACCGUUCUUUGGAGACACUCCAGAAGAACUGUUUGGCCAAGUCAUCAGCGAUGAAAUAAACUGGCCUGAGGGAGAGGAAGCGCCACCAGCUGAUGCUCAGGAGCUGAUCACUCUGCUGCUCAGACAGAACCCUAUGGAGCGCCUUGGCACUGGAGGAGCGUAUGAGGUGAAGCACCAUCAGUUCUUUCACAGUCUGGACUGGAACAGCCUGCUGAGGCAGAAGGCAGAGUUCAUCCCCCAGCUGGAGUCUGAAGAUGACACCAGCUACUUUGACACACGAUCUGAUAGGUACCAUCACUUAGAAACGGAGGAAGAGGACGAUACCAAUGAUGAAGAUUUCAAUGUGGAGCUGCGGCAGUUUUCUUCAUCCUCUCACCGAUUUUCCAAAGUUUACAGUAGCCUGGAUCUAUCUCGAGGACAGCUGGAGGAGAAAGGAGAGCAGACCGAGAAGACAACAGAUAGUCCUCUUACUGUUGACUCGCUGAGCUGGACUCCAGACUUCACUGAAAUACCCUCUCUGUCUCAUUCCUCUGACAAUGAGAGCACUAGCUUAAGCAGAUGUUCUGGUCUUCUACCCAAGUUUGCCAUCUCAGCAGAAGUGGAGGAUGGUGACGGCUCCCUGGCUCUGGAAGACCCCAGUAAAGUGACCUUCAGUAUUGGGGAGCUGCCUCAGGAUGAGCCUGAUCCCAGCACACCCUGUAGCACCAUCAGUAACUCUACCCUCUCAGAUGUUUUUGGUGUGUCACCAUUAGCAAGCCCCAUUUCUCCAUACUCACUAUCAUCAGACCCAUCCUCCAGAGACUCCUCUCCCAGUAGAGACUCAUCCUUAAGUGGUGUCAGUUCCCGUCAGCCAAUCAUUAUCCACAGCUCAGGGAAGAAGUUUGGCUUUACUCUGCGAGCCAUCCGGGUCUACGCCUGUGACAGUGAUGUUUAUACUGUUUACCACAUGGUCUGGAAUGUGGAGGAUGGUGGACCUGCUCACAAGGCUGGUCUUAAGGCUGGAGAUCUAAUAACUCAUGUGAAUGGAGAAACAGUUCAUGGGUUACUUCACACAGAAGUGGUGGAGCUGUUGCUGAAGAGUGGAAGUAAAGUUGCAAUAUCUACAACCCCAUUUGAAAACACUUCUAUCAAAACUGGGCCAGCUAGAAGAAACAGCUACAGAAGUAAAAUGGUGAGAAGAACCAAAAAACCCAAGAAAGAGAAAACUCAAGAAAGAGCAAGCAGAAAAGAAGAGAAAGGAAUCUACUCAAGAGAUAUCUUCUGCACCAAAAACCAACCGUAA
ensembl:lincRNA